AAAAAGGGGGUCGGCCUAUUCCAGGGCUUCUAGAGAAAAAAUAAUGAGGGGUGUCACGGGGUAUGACUAUAUAGGUCUUGUAGAAGGAGAAACAGGCGCUUCUUUUGCGCAAGGUAUCGAAGGGCGCUAUGUUCAAAAAUCUGAAACUAGAGCCCAAAAUUUGAAAAAAAUGGUAAAAAAAUAGGGGGGUCGGCCUAUUCCAGGGCUUCUAGAGAAAAAUAAUGAGGGGUGUCACGGGUAUAUGACUAUAUAGGUCUUGUAGAGGAGAAACAGGCGCUUCUUUUGCGCAAGGUAUCGAAGGGCGCUAUGUUCAAAAAUCUGAAACUAGAGCUCAAAAAUUUGAAAAAAAUGGUAAAAAAGGGGGGUCGGCCUAUUCCAGGGCUUCUAGAGAAAAAUAAUGAGGGGUGUCACGGGGUAUGACUAUAUAGGUCUUGUAGAAGAGAAACAGGCGCUUCU
rnacentral:lncRNA from 1 species